UCACCGAAAGCUCAUUAAAUGUACGCGGCUAGUUUCACAACGAUAACAAAAAUGUGUUAAUAUUAAUGCCACAUAUCACCGACAAGCAUAGCACAAUCACUUUCAAGACUGAGAUUAAAGAAUGAUUGUAAAAUAUGGCAUUGUUGUUUUCCUACUGCAGUAUUUGAUACCAGGAAUCCCUGCGCCGCCAGGACAUUCCACGAUCUGCAAGACUUGUAACAAUGUGAACCAUCCGGGCGACUGUCACCACCAGGAGACUUGCCAUCAUGGGUUCUGCAGCGAGGACGUAUAUUUACAUAACGGAAC